rnacentral:rRNA from 1 species
ACGGAAGGCAGCAGUGGGGGAUAUUGCACAAUGGGGGAAACCCUGAUGCAGCGACGCCGCGUGAGCGAAGAAGUAUUUCGGUAUGUAAAGCUCUAUCAGCAGGGAAGAAAAUGACGGUACCUGACUAAGAAGCUCCGGCUAAAUACGUGCCAGCAGCCGCGGUAAUACGUAUGGAGCAAGCGUUAUCCGGAUUUACUGGGUGUAAAGGGAGCGUAGACGGUUUGCCAAGUCUGAUGUGAAAGGUGGGGGCUCAGCCCCCAAACUGCAUUGGAAACUGGUAGACUAGAGUGUCGGAGAGGUAAGUGGAAUUCCUAGUGUAGCGGUGAAAUGCGUAGAUAUUAGGAGGAACACCAGUGGCGAAGGCGGCUUACUGGACGAUAACUGACGUUGAGGCUCGAAAGCGUGGGGAGCAAACAGGAUUAGAUACCCUGGUA